rnacentral:rRNA from 2 species
CUCAGGACGAACGCUGGCGGCGUGCCUAAUACAUGCAAGUCGAACGAACUCUGGUAUUGAUUGGUGCUUGCAUCAUGAUUUACAUUUGAGUGAGUGGCGAACUGGUGAGUAACACGUGGGAAACCUGCCCAGAAGCGGGGGAUAACACCUGGAAACAGAUGCUAAUACCGCAUAACAACUUGGACCGCAUGGUCCGAGUUUGAAAGAUGGCUUCGGCUAUCACUUUUGGAUGGUCCCGCGGCGUAUUAGCUAGAUGGUGGGGUAACGGCUCACCAUGGCAAUGAUACGUAGCCGACCUGAGAGGGUAAUCGGCCACAUUGGGACUGAGACACGGCCCAAACUCCUACGGGAGGCAGCAGUAGGGAAUCUUCCACAAUGGACGAAAGUCUGAUGGAGCAACGCCGCGUGAGUGAAGAAGGGUUUCGGCUCGUAAAACUCUGUUGUUAAAGAAGAACAUAUCUGAGAGUAACUGUUCAGGUAUUGACGGUAUUUAACCAGAAAGCCACGGCUAACUACGUGCCAGCAGCCGCGGUAAUACGUAGGUGGCAAGCGUUGUCCGGAUUUAUUGGGCGUAAAGCGAGCGCAGGCGGUUUUUUAAGUCUGAUGUGAAAGCCUUCGGCUCAACCGAAGAAGUGCAUCGGAAACUGGGAAACUUGAGUGCAGAAGAGGACAGUGGAACUCCAUGUGUAGCGGUGAAAUGCGUAGAUAUAUGGAAGAACACCAGUGGCGAAGGCGGCUGUCUGGUCUGUAACUGACGCUGAGGCUCGAAAGUAUGGGUAGCAAACAGGAUUAGAUACCCUGGUAGUCCAUACCGUAAACGAUGAAUGCUAAGUGUUGGAGGGUUUCCGCCCUUCAGUGCUGCAGCUAACGCAUUAAGCAUUCCGCCUGGGGAGUACGGCCGCAAGGCUGAAACUCAAAGGAAUUGACGGGGGCCCGCACAAGCGGUGGAGCAUGUGGUUUAAUUCGAAGCUACGCGAAGAACCUUACCAGGUCUUGACAUACUAUGCAAAUCUAAGAGAUUAGACGUUCCCUUCGGGGACAUGGAUACAGGUGGUGCAUGGUUGUCGUCAGCUCGUGUCGUGAGAUGUUGGGUUAAGUCCCGCAACGAGCGCAACCCUUAUUAUCAGUUGCCAGCAUUAAGUUGGGCACUCUGGUGAGACUGCCGGUGACAAACCGGAGGAAGGUGGGGAUGACGUCAAAUCAUCAUGCCCCUUAUGACCUGGGCUACACACGUGCUACAAUGGAUGGUACAACGAGUUGCGAACUCGCGAGAGUAAGCUAAUCUCUUAAAGCCAUUCUCAGUUCGGAUUGUAGGCUGCAACUCGCCUACAUGAAGUCGGAAUCGCUAGUAAUCGCGGAUCAGCAUGCCGCGGUGAAUACGUUCCCGGGCCUUGUACACACCGCCCGUCACACCAUGAGAGUUUGUAACACCCAAAGUCGGUGGGGUAACCUUUUAGGAACCAGCCGCCUAAGGUGGGACAGAUGAUUAGGGUGAAGUCGUAACAAGGUAGCCGUAGGAGAACCUGC